rnacentral:tRNA from 1 species
GCUUUGGUGGUUCAGUGGUAGAAUUCUCUCCUUCCAUGCUGGAGCCCUGGGCUCAAUUCCUGGCCAAUGCG